AACCAGCUCUUCAAGUGGUCGGGAUAAUUAUUGGGCUUAAAGUGUCCGUAGCCGGUUUAGUAAGUUCCUGGUAAAAUCGGGUAGCUUAACUAUCUGCAUGCUAGGAAUACUGCUAUACUAGAGGGCGGGAGAGGUCUGAGGUACUACAGGGGUAGGGGUGAAAUCUUAUAAUCCUUGUAGGACCACCAGUGGCGAAGGCGUCAGACUGGAACGCGCCUGACGGUGAGGGACGAAAGCCAGGGGAGCGAACCGGAUUAGAUACCCGGGUAGUCCUGGCCGUAAACGAUGCAUACUAGGUGAUGGCACGGCCAUGAGCCAUGUCAGUGCCGUAGGGAGACCGUUAAGUGUGCCGCCUGGGAAGUACGGUCGCAAGGCUAAAACUUAAAGGAAUUGGCGGGGAGCACCACAAGGGGUGAAGCCUGCGGUUU
rnacentral:rRNA from 1 species